ACAACAUUCGGACCGUCGGUCUACCGAGCAAUUCCACUCGCUUGGUAAAAGAUUUUCCCUUUGUCGU
rnacentral:pre_miRNA from 1 species